AGCAGCCGCGGUAAUCCCAGCUCCAAUAGCGUAUAUUAAAGUUGUUGCAGUUAAAAAGCUCGUAGUUGAAUUUCGGGGUUAGUAGGUUGGUCGUGCCACUGGUAUGUACUGGCUUUACUGAUCCCUCCUUCUUGUAGAACCGUAAUGCCAUUAACUUGGUGUUGCGGGGAAACAGGACUGUUACUUUGAAAAAAUUGAGUGUUUAAAGCAGGCUAACGCUUGAAUACAUUAGCAUGGAAUAAUGAAAUAGGACGCUCGAUCCUAUUUUGUGGUUUCUAGGAUUUGACGUAAUGAUUAAUAGGGAUAGUUGGGGGCAUUAGUAUUCAAUUGUCAGAGGUGAAAUUCUUGGAUUUAUUGAAGACUAACUACUGCGAAAGCAUUUGCCAAGGAUGUUUUCAUUUAAUCAAGAACGAAAGUUAGGGGACCGAAGACGAUCAGAUACCGUCGUAGUCUUAACCAUAAACUAUGCCGACUAGGGAUCGGGAUGGAUGGUUAAUUUUUUAAUGUACUCAUUCGGCGC
rnacentral:rRNA from 1 species